rnacentral:lncRNA from 1 species
AGAGCUUGCUGGUUUGGGUUCUGGCGGCAGAGUGUUGCAGAGAUGAGACACCUCAUGCCUAAGGGCACCCACAGUUAGGAGAGCUGCCCUGAGGGCACGCGUUCAAGGUCGUUUACUGGAGGGUGUCUGCUUCUGGAUCGGGACUUUUGUACAUUCCUGUCUCUUCACGCCUGGCAGACAAGGACUCGAAACCAGUUGGAAGAUGGUUGUGAGGGUGAAGAUAAAUAGUCCCCAGGUUUGAAUGGGGAGAGUGGCUUAGACUAAAUCUAAUAAAGGUUCAAGGGCGAGUACCGGGCACUGUAGAUGUGUGUAGGGAGGAGGCAGGAGAUUGGCUCAAACUGGGGGGAAGAAGAGAUUUAAAUCCAUAUUGAUAGCACUGCAUUAAAUUGAAGCUGAAAGAAUUUUAAGAGGCUGAUAAGGUGGGACAGAGGAACUUGAAACUAGAUUGGGAAAGACAGUGAAUCCUUUCCUUGGGUAGUUUAUAUCUUGUUCUUUACAGACAGCCUCUAGCAAGGGUUGAAAGCCACGUUCAAGAUAAGGGCAUUAGCCAAGUGUGUGGCACUGCCUGUGGAGUAGGCUGGUGGCUGUCGAGAUGGAAGGGGUUUCCUUGUUUCAGCUGUCCCCACCUUCGAGGAAUUGUUAUGGUGGGUGAAUAGAGACCAUGGGGGUCAGCCAUACAGUUCAGGACAGUGGGAGUCUUACAUAGAGAGGAGUGCAUGCAGGGUUGUGGAAUUCCGUGAGGGCUUCUUACACUGGAGUCCCAGAAAGUGUGUAAGACUGGUGCAUCAUUCUGCAUCCUGAUGGUGUUAGCAUAGGUGUUCCAUGACAUUCAUACAGGUGUCCCCAGAACAGACCAUUGCUUAUGCUUCUAGUGAGACACAGCCAUCUGCGGAGGCUGAGGAAGGGGUGCUGCUGAACCCCAGGAGUUGGAAACCAGACUCAGCAACAUUGCAGCUCACCCUCUGAGUCAGGGUUUCCUGUGUUCCAGACGAGCUUCAGCUUGAUAGAUAGCUGACACAGAACUUCUCAGUUUUCUGCCCCCAUCUCCCAAGCGCCACGAUUGCAAGUGCAGAUUGCCGUGUUUAGUUUCUGUGCUGCUGGGAUUAGACCUAGGGCCUUGAGCAUGCUGAGCUACAAGUGCUACCAACUGAGCUACAUCCUAGACGCAGCACUGCCUCAAGGGGAAAUAAAAUGGGGAGCAGGUAAAAGCUUAACAAACCUGCUUCCUUUGUUUCACAAGACAGAAAUGACUCCCAGAAACCACGACUUCUGACUUCUGCACACACACCAUAGCAUUAGCGCACCCCCAGACUUACAUACGCAAUCGCUUGAAAUAAAUAAUAAAAAGGUAGAACAAA